rnacentral:rRNA from 1 species
AACGAACGCUGGCGGCAGGCCUAACACAUGCAAGUCGAACGCUCCAGCAAUGGAGAGUGGCAGACGGGUGAGUAACGCGUGGGAACCUUCCCUAUGGUUCGGAAUAGCUCAGGGAAACUUGAGGUAAUACCGGAUAAGCCCUUCGGGGAAGGAUUAUUCGCCAUGUAGUGGCCGGCCGUAGGAGUUAGUCUAGUUGGUUGGAGGUAACGGACGUCACCAACGGACGGA